GACGAACGCUGGCGGCGUGCUUAACACAUGCAAGUCGAACGGAAAGGCCCUGCUUUUGUGGGGUGCUCGAGUGGCGAACGGGUGUGUAACACGUGAGUAACCUGCCCUUGACUUUGGGAUAACUUCAGGAAACUGGGGCUAAUACCGGAUAGGAGCUCCUGCUGCAUGGUGGGGGUUGGAAAGUUUCGGCGGUUGGGGAUGGACUCGCGGCUUAUCAGCUUGUUGGUGGGGUAGUGGCUUACCAAGGCUUUGACGGGUAGCCGGCCUGAGAGGGUGACCGGCCACAUUGGGACUGAGAUACGGCCCAGACUCCUACGGGAGGCAGCAGUGGGGAAUAUUGCACAAUGGGCGGAAGCCUGAGGCAGCAACGCCGCGUGCGGGAUGACGGCCUUCGGGUUGUAAACCGCUUUCGCCUGUGACGAAGCGUGAGUGACGGUAAUGGGUAAAGAAGCACCGGCUAACUACGUG
rnacentral:rRNA from 1 species